UACGGAGGGUGCAAGCGUUGUUCGGAAUUACUGGGCGUAAAGCGCGUGUAGGCGGCUGCCUAAGUCUGAUGUGAAAGCCCGAGGCUCAACCUCGGAACUGCCUUCGAUACUGGCGAUCUUGAGUCCGGGAGAGGUGAGUGGAACUCCGAGUGUAGAGGUGAAAUUCGUAGAUAUUCGGAAGAACACCAGUGGCGAAGGCGGCUCACUGGCCCGGUACUGACGCUGAGAUGCGAAAGCGUGGGGAGCAAACAGG
rnacentral:rRNA from 1 species